CACGUAGGAGACGAGCGUUAUCCGGAUUUACUGGGCGUAAAGCGCGGGGAGGUGGGGUCUUAAGUCAUGCGUGAAAGCUCUCGGCUUAACCGGGAGAGGUCGUGUGAAACUGGGGCUCUCAGAGGUAGGUAGAGGCAGAUGGAAUUCCGGGUGGAGUGGUGAAAUGCGUAGAGAUCCGGAGGAACACCAGUGGCGAAGGCGAUCUGCUAGGCCUGACCUGACACUCAGACACGACAGCAUGGGGAGCGAACGGG
rnacentral:rRNA from 1 species